UGAGGAAUAUUGGGCAAUGCCCGCAAGGGUGACCCAGCAACGCCGCGUGGAGGAUGAGUGUCGUAAGAUUGUAAACUCCUGUUAGAGGGGAAGAAUAGUACCGGUUGGACCGGUAUAUGACUGUACCCUCAGAGAAAGCCCCGGCUAACUACGUGCCAGCAGCCGCGGUAAUACGUAGGGGGCAAGCGUUGUCCGGAUUUACUGGGUGUAAAGGGCGCGCAGGCGGGAUAAAAAGUCAGUGGUGAAAUCCUACAGCUUAACUGUAGAACUGCCUUUGAUACUUUUAUUCUGGAGUUCGGGAGAGAGAGACGGAAUUCCAGGUGUAGUGGUGAAAUACGUAGAUAUCUGGAAGAACACCAGUUGCGAAGGCGGUCUCUUGGUCCGACACUGACGCUGAGGCGCGAAAGCGUGGGGAGCAAACA
rnacentral:rRNA from 1 species